UUACCUCCCUCUUUGCUCACCCCAUUUCCACACACUUGUUGUCUGACUUCUCAGAUGUCAUUCCAGGGCCAUAGGGUCUUGAAUGAUAGCCAGUCCACCUAGGAGCUGCACCUCCUGGGAUACUAGAAGACUGCAAAUUGGUGGUUUUAUUUCAGCUGGAUCUGGAGCUAAGAAUGGUCUUAUAUCAAAUUUCAAGUCCAGGCAAAAGAGAUCUGAAAUAAGCUUCAAGACUGGAUCCAUGUCACAACCAAAGUCAACAGCAAUGCCUUCAGUGAGACGAUUUCAUGCCAAAUGCUUCCUGAGCGGAUGUUUCAAGAGUUUUGAAGUUUACUCAUCUCUAGUCUCUAAUGAUCCAAGAAUCUGUCUACUUUCUUGUCUAUUCUAAGGCACUACUGUCAGUGAUGUGAACAACAGUUUCAUGGGAAAAAAUAAGAAAACUAUGAUUGCAAGUCUUAAAUGUGUGAGUCAAGGAAGAAAUUAAGUUUAAUAUUGUAUUUAUUUUACAUUGCAUAAUCUAUGCAUCUGUUCU